GACCCCGGAACACCUGCGCACAGGUGUGGACGGGAACUCGGAAGUGCUUGAACGUUUGACCAAAACGGUGCGAUUAUAAAAUCAGCUGUCUGAUUCUCUGUAAUCCUCAAAAGAACCGGAAGAGUUUUCAUCCUUUAACGACCACACGAAGACUGCGCUUACGGCUGUUCUUCUGUCUCGGUUCAACUAAACCGACUCGUUUCUGCGACACGUUGAGUAAUCAGGUCUUCCUCAGCGUGGACACCAGGAGUCAUCAGCUCCCCUCAUUCACACUCUUCUGGCUUAAGAGCAUCAGGAUGCGAUGGUUCUUUGUAAGGUCUGCAGGUAGUUUGUUGUUCUGCAUGAUAAACAGGAGGAAAAGCUUGAAGAAACCCAGGCAGCUCCACCCACCUGAGGGCAGCGUGACCGCUCACCUUGUCAGGUAGUGCUGGGUCUGCGCCGGCCCCCAGCAGCAGCUGAACGCUGGAAACAUUUCCCCCCAUCACAGCAGCAUGCAGAGCAGUGGAGCCAUUCUGAAGACAAACAGAGACAGAGGUCGGCUGGAGGUUCUGCCAGGAUGGACUGCACUCAGAACGCCACCUUUUACCUUCAGAAGGCCGAGAGACGGAGAAAACUUCAGGAGUUCCUCCAUCACGCCGUUGUGUCCUUUUAAAGCUGCUUUGAAUAAAGCUGUUGACCCAUCCUUGAGGGACAAAGACAAGUUCACAUUUCACAGCUGCUGCAAGCUGAGACUAAAUGGAGAUUCCAUAAACCAGGGUGUCAAACUUCCCCAAACGCACCUGUCCUUCAGCAUCCUGAUCUGCUCCCCGUGACAGCAGCACCUUGACAACCUCGCUGUGGCCCAUCUGAGCGGCUAUCCACAGAGGUGUGGUGUCAUCCUGGAGGAGGCAUGGGC